rnacentral:lncRNA from 10 species
CCCUCACCUUGUUCUGACUGUUUGAGACUUUCAUCACUCCUUAAUAAGAGCUUGUCAUUUGGAGAUCCAGGCUGAGAAAGGUUGAGCGGAGAGGAGACUGACACACAGCUUCGAAGCUCUGCCUGCAAGUGAAGCACAGAACUGUCACCCACAUUUGCUUGGCCACCUAACUUCAAAGGAGCAAGGAAAUGCAAUUUUACCACAAGCCUGGAAAGGAAGAAGAACAUAUAUGUUUUUAGUAGUACUAAUGAUUAGACUGCCUAUAAUUAAACACUGAAUUUUCUUUUAAUCUUUCUACAAUCAUGCGUAGUGCUACGAUGAAUAUUUUCACAUAAUGUUUCCUGUUAUUUCUAUAGAACAAAUUCCCAAUAAUGGAAUUACUGGAUCAAGAAUAUGAAUAUUAUAAUGACCCAAUACAUAUUACCUAUUGCUUUUCAAUAUUAUAGUAAAUAAAAAUCUUAUUCUGCCAGGAGCCACUUGUUAUUUAUCUUUAUAUCUCCAGUCCUACCAGUGUCCCAGGGUACA